UCCAAUUCAGUGGAAUACUCCAAUUCAAAAGACAGCUCAUAGCAGCAGUAUCAAGACCACAGACAACUCCGCCAACACUACCACUACAGCUAAUAAACAAAAGACAACACAUAGUGACAGUCUCCUGACCACAACUAACUCCACCACUGCUACUACUACGACGAAUAACAUCGUAAUAAAUGACAACAUAAACCAGACUGCUUCUUUCGCAGAGACAGCAGCAAGACGCAAAGAAUAUUUUUGUAUAGAUCUGCUUCAGAAAGAUGUGUGUCAAGCUGAGGGAUCUAAGUUAAUAAGACUGGAAAAAGCGCAAACCAGUAUUGCCAUCUCCCACGGGAUGAUGGCAGAAACAAAAAAGAAAACUCUGUUGUACAGAUGCAUCUCCGUAAACAUGAAACGGCCAGAGACGACUAGCCAGACGAACGUGGAAAGGGCACUGAAAAAAAUAAGGCCCGACAUUCUUCAUAUUUCGAGGGCUAAACAGUUUGCGGACAUUUCAAUGCUCUUUAAAUAUGAAGCUCUGUCCGCCAAACAUUUCAUGGUUCCUUGUCGGAGUGAAAAAUAUGUGCUUCAUCCAUCCUAUUUAGGAAGGAGGAUGGUGUGCAUAAAGAUAGCUGGGAUACCUCCAAAGGUAAACAUGUGGUGGAUUCUCGCAGCGAUAGUUUCGAAGGGAGCAACAGCCUUCUGGAGGUCAAAAGGACACGACGUGAAACGGUCUGGGACCAGUGUGGAGGUACUCCUCCACAUUCAACCAAAAGUUAUUCACAAGAUUACAGACCUCGUUUGCCUUCCAGGAGGGGAAGAACAUGUCACGAGGGAGGAUAGAAGGUGCCACCUGUGAGGAGCGACAGGACACUUGAGAGUCUUCUGCCCCCAACAGAAGACAGGGAACGAUGGUAGUCCUUUACUGCCACUGCCAGGUUCCCAAAAGUCUCAACAACAAACAAACCAACAAUGAUCAGCAACAAAAGCAGCACCAACCCUGGCAACAACGGCAUCAUCAUCAACAGGAAUAGCAAAACCAAUAAACGAAGGAAAAUCACCAACAUCAACAGCAACUCCAGUAAAAGCAGCAACCCCUUGAACAUCAUCAACAUCAGUCACAGCAGCAACACCAGCAACAUCAACAACACCAACAACACCAGCAACAGAUGCACCAGGUUUACUCACCUUAACAGCAGAAGAGAUAAUACACAAGAACACACAGCGCUCCCAAGGGCUCCCUCCCACUCCUUCCCUCGCUCCAUGUACUUCAAGCCCCAUCGACCCACGCUCUGAUUCCACAGACUCAGAUUCAUUGGCAAUACAGCGAAAAUGAGGGGGAACCACAACCCCGCCCAAAAAAACGAAAAGAACUCACAAAAGUGCAUCAAGUCCUACAUCAACUCACACAUCAAGAAACAUAUAAAAUACACCAACAACUGCCACAGACAAACCUACAGCAUCACCAACCUCUCCAGCACCACAAUCACAAACUUCGCCAUCAACGCUACCCCAGCUGCAACAACCAACCAAAAGAAAACACUCUCAACAGCAACAAGCAACCACACAAACACCAAACUUCGUACCAGUGAUGAGGUCAAAUAAACAAUUGAUGGACUUCCUAUCACGAAGGAAGGAUGUCGGGAGAGAAGGUGUGAUCUUUGGCACCAGCACCUUUCAAGUGCCAGAAACAUUGGUUUUGGUGCGGAUGCCUAUAGAGGCAUAUAAGCUCGUUAGAAAGAGCUUCUCGCAAGACGUGGGAAACUCUAAUGUAAAGGCCACGAGUAGGCUUUUAAAGGGGUUCCCAGAGGAAAGCCAACAUCUCUUGGACGUUGAGCCAUCUGACUUCCAGUGACACCCGAAUGACCAUUAAAGUUACAAUGAAAUACUGCUCUCACACUUGAGAAGAUCUUGCUACUACGCAUGUGAUCAUCUGCCUUGAAUGCAUCUAACUACAGUUGUUGCUGUUGUUGUUAUAAGCCAAAGUGCUGUCGAGAUUAUUUAGAUCUAGCAGUAAUGGAGCCGAACACAUACCGGACCCGACCAUCCUAUUCUGUUUAAGGAGAGAUGCGAAUAUCUAGAACUCUAUCAUCGAGAUUAAGUUGUGAUGUACCAAUGACGUGAAAAGUGAAAUCUUAAAUGAAAUUUACGUUUGAAUUGGAGAAAGAAAUCAAAAAUCUUGCGUCAAAUUUUGGAAAUCGUCAAAGAACAAAGGAAUUAAUCCCUCAAAUGUCAGCUUACAUGCUAAUGAAAAAAGUUAACCUUUGCGGACAAGGGCAGACAAUUAUGAACACGUUCCAGUCUAUCAAAUUCAACAACAUUGUAUAUUCUACUAAAACAUGCUUCGAUCUGUCGACAAAGGGUUUUUACAUGAAUAAAAAUAGGCAGUAUUAAAUUUUGUCUGGUAAAAUCUUUGAGCAAGAUAAUUAUGACAAUCAAAAAUAUAUAGUGAAUA